rnacentral:rRNA from 1 species
AAAUUGAAGAGUUUGAUCAUGGCUCAGAUUGAACGCUGGCGGCAGGCCUAACACAUGCAAGUCGAACGGUAGCACAGAGAGCUUGCUCUCGGGUGACGAGUGGCGGACGGGUGAGUAAUGUCUGGGAAACUGCCCGAUGGAGGGGGAUAACUACUGGAAACGGUAGCUAAUACCGCAUAACGUCGCAAGACCAAAGUGGGGGACCUUCGGGCCUCACACCAUCGGAUGUGCCCAGAUGGGAUUAGCUAGUAGGUGGGGUAACGGCUCACCUAGGCGACGAUCCCUAGCUGGUCUGAGAGGAUGACCAGCCACACUGGAACUGAGACACGGUCCAGACUCCUACGGGAGGCAGCAGUGGGGAAUAUUGCACAAUGGGCGCAAGCCUGAUGCAGCCAUGCCGCGUGUAUGAAGAAGGCCUUCGGGUUGUAAAGUACUUUCAGCGAGGAGGAAGGCGUUGUGGUUAAUAACCACAGCGAUUGACGUUACUCGCAGAAGAAGCACCGGCUAACUCCGUGCCAGCAGCCGCGGUAAUACGGAGGGUGCAAGCGUUAAUCGGAAUUACUGGGCGUAAAGCGCACGCAGGCGGUUUGUUAAGUCAGAUGUGAAAUCCCCGGGCUCAACCUGGGAACUGCAUUUGAAACU